CGUCAGCCUCAGAACUCAUCUGGUAAUGUUUGAAAGCUGACAUGUUAAAGACGGGGAGUUUUUCUAUGGACUCAGAAGACAAAGCCUAAAGGAAGAGGGAAAAAAUAUCAGACCAAAGAAAUAUGGGUAGCAUAAUUUGCACUUUAAGUGAUUAUUCAAAAUUCAUCCUGAGCAAUUCUUGCUCUACAUUUAGAACCAGGUGGCUGGGAUGGAUUUAGCCAUAUAAUUGGCCUUACCAAAGGAGCAUUCCGGGAAUUAUCCAUCACAGGUGUUGGCGCUGUGGAGUAUGUGUAACUGAAGAGGCGGUCAAUAAUCCUCAGCGGAACACCACCUCCUCUGUCAGAAAUCUGAAAUAAACGAGUCAUCAUAGCUACACAUUAAAAACAACGUGAACUUGUCUAUACUAAAAAGUCUUCUCUUCAUUAUAAAAGUCACCUGGUAUACAUGAUUUGGAGCCAUUGUCCAAAGCAAGGAGCCUUAUUAUUAUUGACAUUUUUAAAAUUCUCUCAAGAAAGAACCAGAAGAAAAGUAGAGAAUGGAUACCUUAAUUGUAAGGUCUUCUUUUCCCAAAACCACAAUCACUUCAAUUGGCGCAAGGGAAGGGCAGUUUUCCUGGUGCUCAACGGUUGCCCUCAUUGCAUUCUAAGGAAAAAGAAAACCAUAAGGAAUUCAAUGGCAGAAGAAUGAGGAACAAUAAAUAA